AACGGCCCACCAAGGCGACGAUCAGUAGCCGGUCUGAGAGGGUGAUCGGCCACAUUGGAACUGAGACACGGCCCAGACUCCUACGGGAGGCAGCAGUGGGGAAUAUUGCACAAUGGGGGAAACCCUGAUGCAGCAACGCCGCGUGAGUGAUGACGGCCUUCGGGUUGUAAAACUCUGUCUUUGGGGACGAUAAUAACGGUACCCAAGGAGGAAGCCACGGCUAACUAC
rnacentral:rRNA from 1 species